rnacentral:rRNA from 1 species
CGGGUGAGUAACGCGUGGAUAACCUGCCUCACACAGGGGGACAACAGCUGGAAACGGCUGCUAAUACCGCAUAACACAAGUAAUUCGCAUGAAUAACUUGCCAAAGAUUUAUCGGUGUGAGAUGGAUCCGCGUCUGAUUAGCCAGUUGGCGGGGUAACGGCCCACCAAAGCGACGAUCAGUAGCCGACCUGAGAGGGUGACCGGCCACAUUGGGACUGAGACACGGCCCAA